rnacentral:rRNA from 1 species
AUAUUGGACAAUGGGGGGAACCCUGCUCCAGCAGUGCCGCGUGGGUGAAGAAGGCCUUUUGGUGGUUGUGAACUUUAAGCGCGGGGGAGGCUUACCUGGUGAAUACCUGGGAUAAGUGGACGUUACUCGCGGAAUAAACACCGGCGAACGCUGUGCCAGCCGCCGCGGUAAUACAGAGGGGGGAAGCGUGAAUAGGGUUUACUGGGCGUAAAGCGAGCGUAGGUGGCUAAUUAAGUCAAAUGUGGAGUCCCCGAGCUUAACUUGGGAAUUGCAUUCGAUACUGGUUAGGUAGAGUAUGGGAGAGGAUGGUAAGAUUCCAGGUGUAGGGGUGAAAUGCGUAGAGAUCUGGAGGAAAAACGAUGGCGAAGGCAGCCAUCUGGCCUGAUACUGACACUGAGGUGCGAAAGGAUGGGGAGGAAACA